rnacentral:rRNA from 1 species
UGGGGAAUAUUGGGCAAUGGGCAAAAGCCUGACCCAGCGACGCCGCGUGGGUGAUGAAGGCCUUCGGGUUGUAAAGCCCUUUCGUGCGGAAAGAACAGCCCUGUAGUUAAUACCUGCAGGGUUUGACGGUACCGCAGGAAGAAGCACCGGCUAACUCCGUGCCAGCAGCCGCGGUAAUACGGAGGGUGCAAGCGUUGUUCGGAAUUAUUGGGCGUAAAGGGCGCGUAGGUGGUUGUGAUAGUCAGAUGUGAAAUCCUUUGGCUUAACUGAAGAACUGCAUCUGAAACGUCACAACUCGAGUACAGGAGAGGGAAACGGAAUUCCCGGUGUAGAGGUGAAAUUCGUAGAUAUCGGGAGGAACACCAGUGGCGAAGGCGGUUUCCUGGCCUGAUACUGACACUGAGGCGCGAAAGCGUGGGGAGCAAACAGG